rnacentral:rRNA from 1 species
CUCUUCCCAUUCCGAACAGAGAAGUUAAGCCCGAUUGCGCCGAUGGUACUGCCCACUGGUGGGAGAGUAGGUCGACGCCAACU